rnacentral:lncRNA from 1 species
UGAUGGGAAGAUGCGAAGAAUGCGUGAUCAUCAAUUUUCGGGCAGUGGCAGUUGCUUGGGUUCUGCAAAUGCUUUUGCUUGAGAUCCUGACCGAGUUCUUGCGCAACUUGAGUUUUGAGGGACAACUGGGUGUCAUUUUGUAGUGGGUGCCAAGAAUCCUGGUACUAGAGAAGUGGUAGGACCUCACCUUCAUGUUUUAUGCACCGAUGUUUACUGAAGUGGUAGGACCUCACCUUCAUGUAUGAUGCAUUGAUGUUUACUAAAUAGGCUGGAUUUGUUAAACAUAGAAUUAAUAAGAUCAUAUUCUUACUCAAAAAGUUAACUUGUGUUAUGCCUUCUGAUUUACAAACUCACAAAAC